GGCUCUUUGACCGAGUGGUUAAGGUGAAUCCUUGCUAUAAGCAGAAGAGGAUUUCUCGAAAGAGGCGUGAGUUCGAAUCUCACAGGAGUCG